AUUAAAAAAAACUACUUACUAGAUCUCGUUCAAACCAAUGGGGGGGGGGACACACAUUUUACCACUUUGGAAGUGUCUCUCGCGCAAACUAUUCAGUUUAGAAAAAAAUGAUAUUAGAUACCUCAAUAUCCUUUUUGAAGACCUAUCCAUAGAUACUCCACCCGUAUGGGUUUGAUGAAAAAAAAAUUUUUGAGUUUCAGUUCUAAGUAUA